rnacentral:rRNA from 1 species
GUGGGGAAUAUUGGGCAAUGGGCGAAAGCCUGACCCAGCAACGCCGCGUGAAGGAUGAAGGCUUUCGGGUUGUAAACUUCUUUUAUCAGGGACGAAGAAAGUGACGGUACCUGAUGAAUAAGCCACGGCUAACUACGUGCCAGCAGCCGCGGUAAUACGUAGGUGGCAAGCGUUAUCCGGAUUUACUGGGUGUAAAGGGCGUGUAGGCGGGACUGCAAGUCAGAUGUGAAAACUAUGGGCUCAACCCAUAGCCUGCAUUUGAAACUGUGGUUCUUGAGUGAUGGAGAGGCAGGCGGAAUUCCCUGUGUAGCGGUGAAAUGCGUAGAUAUAGGGAGGAACACCAGUGGCGAAGGCGGCCUGCUGGACAUUAACUGACGCUGAGGCGCGAAAGCGUGGGGAGCAAACAGGAUUAGAAACCCUUGUAGUCC